rnacentral:rRNA from 1 species
GAUGAACGCUGGCGGCGUGCCUAAUACAUGCAAGUCGAGCGAACGGACGAGAAGCUUGCUUCUCUGAUGUUAGCGGCGGACGGGUGAGUAACACGUGGAUAACCUACCUAUAAGACUGGGAUAACUUCGGGAAACCGGAGCUAAUACCAGAUAAUAUUUUGAACCGCAUGGUUCAAAAGUGAAAGACGGUCUUGCUGUCACUUAUAGAUGGAUCCGCGCUGCAUUAGCUAGUUGGUAAGGUAACGGCCUACCAAGGCAACGAUGCAUAGCCGACCUGAGAGGGUGAUCGGCCACACUGGAACUGAGACACGGUCCAGACUCCUACGGAAGGCAGCAGUAGGGAAUCUUCAGCAAUGGGCGAAAGCCUGACGGAGCAACGCCGAGUGAGUGAUGAAGGUCUUCGGAUCGUAAAACUCUGUUAUUAGGGAAGAACAUAUGUGUAAGUAACUGUGCACAUCUUGACGGUACCUAAUCAGAAAGCCACGGCUAACUACGUG